rnacentral:lncRNA from 1 species
AAAGCAUGAUGAUGUUGGAGUUUUGGGUCUUAUCCCGGAGCAAAAACUUACAGCUGCUUUGCGGAUGCUUGCUUAUGGGGCAUUUGCAGAGCAGGUGGAUGAGAUUGCAAGGAUGGGAAAAUCAACUAUCCUAGAGUGCUUGGUGAGAUUCUGUGAUGCAGUGAAAAAUUUGUACACGAGGGAGUACAUUUGCAAACCCACGCCGAGGGACCUGCAAAGGUUGCUACAAAAAGCAGAGGCUCGAGGUUUCCCAGGCAUGAUUGGAAGCAUUGAUUGCAUGCACUGGCAGUGGAAGAAUUGUCCUACUGCUUGGCAAGGAGAGUACGGGAAUCGAAAGGGCCAAAAAAGUAUAAUUUUGGAGGCCGUAGCUUCAUUCGACUGUUGGGUUUGGCAUGCCUUCUUCGGGGUUGACGGAUCUCAGAAUGACCUCAAUGUCCUUGGUCAAUCCCCAGUGUUCGACGAGGUAUUGCGAGGUCAUUCCCCCUAGAUCACGUACCAAAUCAACAAUACCGUAUACUCUGGUGCGUACUACCGUGCCGACAGAAUUUAUCCUAGGUGGACGACAUUCGUGAAAACAAUUCCGAAUCCCCAAUCCGAGAAGGAAAGAAGCUUUGCUUCAUUUCAAGAA